GGCCGCCUCUGGAGAGCAGCAGCCAUGGCUCUGCGCUACCCUAUGGCCGUGGGCCUCAACAAGGGCCACAAAGUGACCAAGAACGUGAGCAAGCCCAGGCACAGCCGCCGUCGCGGGGUGAGUGCGGGGGCCGCGCGGAGGUUGUUGGGGGUUUCUUGGAGGGCGGAGGGCAUGGUUUGGGCAAAGGCUCUCGACCUGAAAGAACGCGCAUUCGGGCGCAGAACUAAGGGGGGCUUGAAUGGAGGAGAUGGGGUGGGGGAGUGGGACUUCCUGCCUGGGGCUCGAAGGCGGACACCCAUCUGGGUUUUCCCUGACCGUGCAAUCCACGCUGGGGCAGAGGGAGCACCUUGAGAGCGGCGCGGGGCAGCGGAUUUGGGGUUCUGACGCAGGAGUAGGAGUUCGCUCAUGGAGCUGACCCGAGGUUGAGGGAUUUCAGGUGUGUCAGUGUAUUGGGCUCCUUUAUUUAGCAGGCAGCCCAGACUCCAGGUGCGUCCUGCCAGUGUUGCGGAGACUGGGACUUAGGGAGGAUGGGAGCUGCUCCGGGCGCGGUGAAAAGCGCUAGGAGUUGGUACUUUGGUUCUCACAGCUACCCACACAGGGGAGGAAGUAGCCAGGGGAAUCGCGGCAGCGCGGGAGAAGCUGCUUAACUAGAAUGCAGGGAUCCCCCCUACCCUGACGGCCGCCCCUUCCCCCCCCAGCGUCUGACCAAACACACCAAGUUCGUGCGGGACAUGAUUCGGGAGGUGUGUGGCUUUGCCCCAUACGAGCGG
rnacentral:sRNA from 1 species